rnacentral:rRNA from 1 species
AUUGAACGCUGGCGGCAUGCUUUACACAUGCAAGUCGAACGGCAGCGCGGGCUUCGGCCUGGCGGCGAGUGGCGAACGGGCGAGUAAUACAUCGGAACGUGCCCAGCAGUGGGGGAUAGCUCGGCGAAAGCCGGAUUAAUACCGCAUACGACCAGAGGGUGAAAGCGGGGGAUCUUCGGACCUCGCGCUAUUGGAGCGGCCGAUGGCAGAUUAGCUAGUUGGUGGGGUAAAGGCCUACCAAGGCGACGAUCUGUAGCUGGUCUGAGAGGACGACCAGCCACACUGGGACUGAGACACGGCCCAGACUCCUACGGGAGGCAGCAGUGGGGAAUUUUGGACAAUGGGCGAAAGCCUGAUCCAGCAAUGCCGCGUGUGUGAUGAAGGCCUUCGGGUUGUAAAGCACUUUUGGCGGGAAAGAAAAGGACUGUGCCAAUACCACGAUUCGAUGACGGUACCCGCAGAAUAAGCACCGGCUAACUACGUG